ACGUGGGAGGGUUGAGGAGUCUGACCAAUAAGUGGACGACGUUCCUCAAAGCCAGACUGGUGUGUUCCAUCCCUGGACCCGAAGGAGUGGACACACACUUUGACGAGCUCCAGGACAUAUUCAUGCUUCCCUCUAGAGAUGAGAAGAACCCUGUAGUGUAUGGAAUCUUCACCACCUCCAGCUCUGUGUUCCGUGGCUCGGCGGUGUGUGUGUACAGCAUGGCUGACAUACGAGCUGUGUUCAACGGACCCUAUGCUCACAAGGAGGGACCUGACCAUCGCUGGGUAGAAUAUGAGGGCAGAAUACCUUACCCUCGCCCUGGAACGGUACACAAACAAACACGCUCAUCUCUGCUAACCAUACCCCGCUCCAUUUCCCUCCUGCCUGAAAGCAGACUGAAUAUUGUUUCUGUCCAGGAUUAUUUAGAAAGACCCCUCUUAAAUGGCUUACAAUAUG